rnacentral:rRNA from 1 species
GACAGAGGGUGCAAGCGUUGUUCGGAAUUACUGGGCGUAAAGCGCACGUAGGCGGCUUUGUAAGUUAGAGGUGAAAGCCCGGAGCUCAACUCCGGAACUGCCUUUAAGACUGCAUCGCUUGAAUCCAGGAGAGGUGAGUGGAAUUCCGAGUGUAGAGGUGAAAUUCGUAGAUAUUCGCAAGAACACCAGUGGCGAAGGCGGCUCACUGGCCCGGUACUGACGCUGAGGUGCGAAAGCGUGGGGAGCGAACAGG